rfam:Dipodomys ordii contig_56880, whole genome shotgun sequence.
UAGCCCAUCGGGGCCGCGGAUACCUGCUUUGGUGUUUU